GUUCAAGCGGUAGGAGAGCGUCGUAACCGGGCUGAAGUCGUACCGUAAGGAGCGGUGGACUGGUUACGAGUGAGAAUGUUGGCAUCAGUAGCGAGAUGUGGGUGAGAAUCCCACAGGCCGAAAACCUAAGGUUUCCUCAGGAAGGUUCGUCCGCUGAGGGUUAGUCGGGACCUAAGCCGAGGCCGAAAGGCGUAGGUGAUGGACAACUGGUUGAUAUUCCAGUACCACUACCAUCGUUAUUAUCGAUGGCGUGACGCAGGAGGAUAGUGUGUGCUAGCUAUUGGAUGCUAGUCUAAGCGUUUAGGCAGUGAGAGUAGGCAAAUCCG
rnacentral:rRNA from 1 species